rnacentral:lncRNA from 1 species
UGAUUGAUACAACACCUUCAUUGCGAGUUGUGACAAUAAGCUUACUACCCGGUGUCCCUGAUCUCAUUGGCAUGCACAAAAACUCCCAUGAAUCAUGGUUCUCAUUCCAUACAUCGUCUAGGAUAAGAAGAAAUUUCUUCCCGGAAAGGUUCUCCCUUAAUGCCAUCUGAAGCAAAUUAAGAUCAUUAACAUCCUGAGUAUUCGGAGAAACUGAUUGUAGAAUUGUUUUCGUGAUCUUCAAGACAUCAUAAUCAUCAGAAACAUAGACCCAAACUCUCAAAUCAAAAUGAGCUUUUACUUCAUCAUCGUUGAAUGCAAGUUGGGCGAGAGUAGUUUUGCCAAUACCAGCCAUACCGACAACAGGAAUCACGCAGACUUCAUCAGUACAUGAAUCAUCCCUGAGUAACAAGUUGGCUAUGGCUGCUUUAUCCGUUUCCCUACCAUAAACACGGGACUCAUCCACUAAAGAAGUGGUGGGAAGUAUUUCCCUUGUUUUGGUAGACCUCUUCCCAGCAAUAUUCUCUGUUAAAUGGAGAUCAUUUUUUUGUGCAGAAAUUUCUUGUAACCCGGCGGUGAUCUUCUUGAAUUUGGACCACAUCUCCGCAUUAAACUUAAUAGAAUUUGGAGUGAAACUAGUACAACAAGAAGGGAUGAGGCUCCGUAACUUACUUGUGCUAGGUUGAGUGCCAGAAGGAAGGGUUUCCGCCAUCAAAUUGCGUCGCAAAGCUUCAGUGGCGAAGCUGUCCAAGAUGUCCUCCACAUCAUAAGCCAAGUCUCCGAGCUCGUCAAGCCACAUCUUCACCAGGGGGUCCGUCAUAUGCUUCUCCUCUGCGUCAUGGAGGACUACAUAGAUCUUCGUCAAAAUUUUCUUCCACUUGUUAAGCUCAGAAUGGACGUGCUCUUCGCUAGCGAAAUUCCAGAGCUCAGGGGAGGUGACCAUGUCAAUCAGUUUCUGGAUGAGACCAGACAAAACAGCUUCCCCAACAAAACCAGCCAUGAUUCUUUGUUUGUAAGUAGAAAGGAAUUAAUCAAAGAAAGUCUCUGCAGCUCUGAAUAAUGGUUUGUAGGAGGAACCCAAGGGUUUUAAAGGAAGUCUCCGCAACUCAUAUUGUUGAGUCAACACAAAAUAUCUCUAAGGUUCCAUAAAAGGGAAUGGAAUUAAUGCACAGUAGAAAGUGGUUGUGGCGAGGGCCCACAUGGUGUGGAUGAAGUACUAGAGUGUUGCUCCACAUGGGGCUGGUUCCUAGAAAAUAGAGAAAGUUGUGUUUGCAAGUAACAUGACAAUCAAACUCCAAUCAGCUAGAAUAUGAGAUUUGACUAUCAAAGGGGAAAAUAUUAUCUUUUUUGUGCACUCUUUGCUGACUCCAUUUUAUGUUCUUAGAUUGCCCCUCCGUGCCUCCAUGUUAGUUGCAACUUUAUCUCCAUAUCAGCAACAAGCCCUCUAUGUCACAAGAGAGACUGAAAAUUUAAAAAACAGAAAAAUCUGAAUUUGAAACCUAUGAAAAAUCACUUGAUUUGACAACCGGCUGUUAUUUCCCUAAUUUGAAACCUUUCUUCUCUCUGAUUUGGGAACAUUUCUCUCUCUCUCUUUCUCUCCCUCUUGGUUUCAUCACCCACACAAUCUCGAGACCUAUCUAAAAUUUCCCAAAUAUUGUCUCAUUUAAGAGAAAAAAAAAGCAAUAAUCCAAAACUCCAACUUGCAUGUUUUUUUAUUGUCCACAUAAAAGUGCAACGAAAUGGAGCAUUCCAUCCUAAGAAUGUGUGGUUAAAAGACGACUUCAAGAGGCGCAUAUGUGAUUGUGAGUUUACUACAGCAGCGCAUACUCGAACGGAAAGUUGGAAUCCAAAAUAUUGGCUUCGUCAACAAGAUAUCUCUUACUAUCAUUGAGUCACAUUUUGCCCUAACCCUAAAUUGAAAUUGGAAGGUAAAUAAUUUUUAUUUAUUGUUCUUUAGUUCCUUUGUUUGAAAUGGAGCACAUCAACGAUUUUGGAGUCGUUGGUGGACUUGAACUUUUGUGUUGGGUUGUGGAAAUCAUAUUAUUCCCAAAAUAACCAUAUGACAUACAAGUUGCAUUGAAUCCAGAUGGAACUCACAACAUAUCCGGUUGCAAAUCGCAUUAUUAUUUUAGGGAUUGUACUUUAGGUACUACUUUAACGGAGCUUAGGUAGUAUCUUAGUUAAACUUGGGUAGUACUCGUUCGAAGCCUUGGAACUUCAAUUUUGGACAUUACUUACUUCAUUUGUGACUCUUAGAGCAUGCCAUUAUGUGAUUAUUUAGUGUGAUGAAAUGGUUCACCUUUCUUAUUUUGGAGAUUGUACCUUAGGUACUACCUUAAUGGAGAUUAGGUACUACCUUAGUUAAACUUGGGUACUACUUGUCCGAAGCCUCGGAACUUCAAUUGUGGACAUUUCUUACUUUAUUUGUGACCUAUAGAGCAUGCCAUUAUGUGAUUAAUUAGUAUGCUCAAUUGGUUCACCUUUGUUAUUUUGGGGACUGUACCUUAAGUACUACCUUAAUAGCCCUUAGGUACCACCUUAAUCAACCUUAGGUACUACCUUAAUCGACCUUAUGUACUACCUUAGUUAAAGUUGGGUACUACCUAUCUGAAGCCUCGGAACUUCAUUCGUGACCCUUAGAGCAUGCCAUUAUGUGAUUAUUUUGUGUGGUCAAGUGGUUCACCUUUGGUAUUUUGGGGACUGUACCUUAGGUACUACCUUAAUAGCCUUUAAGUACCACCUUAAUCAACCUUAGGUACUACCUUAACCGACCUUAGGUACUAUUUUAGUUAAAGUUGGGUACUACCUAUCCGAAGCUUCAGACCUUCAUUUGUGACCCUUAGAACAUCCCAUUAUGUGAUUAUUUAGGGGUUUUUUUGGUUUCCAUAGGCUGAUAUGGAAAUAUUGGUAAAAUAGAAACCCAUCUUAACAUUUACUUUUUGUUUGAAUGAUUCACUUUUGAAGGGUGAUUCAUCAUAAGGCAAUGCAUGAGAUGAUAAUGACAUGUCAUUUGCUGCUAUGCCCUCGACUGGAGUUGAAGAUGCAUCAUCACAAACUAAUGAAAUAGGUAAUUUGGACUAUAUGCUUAUCUUUUCAAGUAAUUGUGUUAAAUUUUAUUUGCAGUUGAUGUAACCCUUGUAAUCUUUAUUGGUUUGCAUCUUUGACAAGAAUGUUAAGAUCUUUGUUUUCAAUUUUCUUGUACUCAACCAAAUAACAAAAGUUAACAUCUUUAACAAAAAUGCAUUUCCUUGAAACAAAACCGAAAAAAGUGCAUCCAAAGUUCAAACAACCUCAUGACCAUAAUUUUUUAUUGUAGUAUGAGCACUUGUUUUGCAGGAAAUGAAGACUGUAAUCCACCAGCUGAAGAAGAAAGAACCAAUGAGAGAGACAUCGGUUUGGACCAAAACCCGCUUCACUCUCUUCCACACUUGAUCAACUCCUCAACACUAAUAGAUAGUCUUCUAAUGCAAAAACGCAUGAGUUUUUGUAGGUGGAUCAAUGAUAAUGAGCCUAAUGAUAUUUGUACCAAGCAACUCAUACUAGCUACAAUGAUGCAAUUGAAAAAAGUGAUACGUGAGAUGGAUACACACAACAAGAGCAGGUGGGAUGAGAAGCCUGAAUGAAGACCUUUUUGGUUGUUCUGUAUCCUUUUUAUGUUUUCUUUCUUCAGGAGAAGAUGACUCUAUUAUGUUUUUUGUAGUUUUUUUAGAUGAAUGUUAGUAUGGUUCCUAUGGAGAAAGGUUAAAAAAAAUUGAGGAAAGAAAAUAAAUGUUUUUUUAUUUUAUUUUAUUCCCAUUGUCCUAAAAAAAUAUAUUGGAAAAUUUAAUUUUCUCUUAUUUGGACAUUAUCAUGGAUGAUCAAACAAAGAUAACAACUUUCUGAGAACAGGAAUAAUACAGGGUGUACAAGAAGAUUUUUUGGAGAAUGUCUGGAAUGUAGGAGGAGAUGCCUCAGACAAUGCUUGGAAUGUUGAAAUGUGAAAUGGAAAUGACAACCAAACCCACUGUACUUUUCUCACAAACCAAAUGCACCCAAGACAAAUGACACAUUAGAAUCAUAAGGAACAAAACAUAAGCCACUUUCCUUAUUUUAAGAAAGAAAACUUAGGAUUUGUAUGCAAAUUGUUUAAAUAAUAGUUCUUAUUAUUUAAAAUAGAAAAUAGUAUUUUUACUUAGAAAAUAUAUUUAAUAAUUUUUUUAGAAGAUAAAGAAUGAUAGGAGGAUUUGUGUAUUGUAUAAAUGUAUGGUUUCUUUUAGGGAAAAUAAGUCAAUGAAAUUGUUUUUUCAUUAUUUAAGUUCCCAAUAAAGGGUUUUUUUUUUUUUUUUUUUUUUUAAGGUUUUGAAAAAUAAUAAAGAAAAAAGAAUUCCUAUAAUUUUAUCGUCCAUGAUUAAAUUAUAGAUGAGGAAAAUUUCUUUGCCCUUCUUCUUUGUUUUAAUAUUUUUUAAUUACAUUAUUUUUGCAUUAUCCAAAUAUAAUUUAUAUAAAAAAACAAACAUAAUUUAAAUAAUUAGAAAUUUAUUUUUACUUAUAUUGAAAAAAUUUGUACAUAUUAGCUUUAAUUUAAAUUUGAAAUAUGCUAAAAUUUAAUUUCCCUAGAUACAGUUUUUAACUUUACAUCUCAACUAAAAUUUAUUCCUAAGCUUAUGAUGUGUUAAAAAAUCUCAAAUUGUCUUAUGUUGUGAGUUUUAACAAACAAAUUGUCUUAUGUGCCAAAUGUUUGAGUCAUCAUUUUUAGUUUAACAAAGUUGAUAAUAAUAAUCACAUAGUACCUAUGAACACUACGAAAAUAUAUUACUAGACAUUGAUAUUCAUAACACAUUUCCACAACCUAUGUUAAACUAGAUAUUACAAUAAGCAAAACACAUGCUAUAAAGAAGCCAACAAAGAAACUGAUUACAUAUGUAUAUGAAAUAUUUUGCAAGGAAUGCUUAUCAUCAAAUGCAUGUUCAGACUUUGGUUUGCCAGCUGAUGAACAUUCAUUACUUCUAUUCCAUCUUGGUGCAUAAAACAGCUAAACUCGGACAACUUUCUCUCUAGAAGUAUAUGCUUUGUAAACAUUCCCUUUAUAAAGGAGCACAUUCUUUUGACAUUAAACCCAAGAAUCGUACACUCCAUGUCUGCCACCUGCAAACACUACAUACUAUGUUUGCAUGUUCAUCAUCUGAUGACACAAUUGUUGUUGGUUACUUUUUGAUAAUCAAUCAAGUAAUGACUAUUGCAAAAGAUAGUACAAAAGGUAUAUAAUUCACACAUGUAUACCAUAUAUAUUUUAGGAUAAUAAUAGUGAUGAUUAACCACAAAAUUCAAAAUAUAACAAGUAAUGUGUGGGAUUCAAGUUCUAAGGCUUCAUAUAGGUAGUACCCAACUUUAACUAAGGUAGUACUUAAGAUUAGUUAAGGUAGUACCUAAGAUUGAUUAAAGUGGUACUUAUGGGCUAUUAAGGUAAUACCUAAGGUACAAUCCCCAAAAUACCAAAAGUGAACCAAUUGAACACGCUAAAUAAUAACAUAAUGGCAUGCUCUAAGGGUCACAAAUGAAGGUCUGAAGCUUCGGAUAGGUAGUAUUGAUUACUAAUAAAAAACCACACAUUUUAGAUAAUAAUUCUCAUGAGUGUCAUAUCUUUUGGGUAGUAAUUAUGCUUAAAACACUCAAUUAAUAUGUUUUUGCCCUAGCAAGAGUUACUAACAAUUUUUAUGAAGUUUUGGAGUCAUUUCAAGGUAUGAUUUUGAUAAAUUGGUGACAAAAGAGAUGAAUCAAAUUGAAGAGAACAAAUAAAGUUGAUGAUGAUCCAAAUGCACAAUGAAAGAAGUAAUGAAAUUGGUUUGGACCAGGAUUUGGAAUUGAUUUGGAGGUGGUUAAAGUGGAAUCAAGAGAAAGAAAUGGAAGAAAUGACAAAAAAGAGUUGAAAAACUAUGUUUUUCAAUUUCGCAUGAACAUGUGAAAAAUUCGCACAAUUGUGCGAAAUGGAUCAAAGGGGAAUUUGGCUACAACUAAAAGGGAAAAAGUGAAAACUAAUUUCGCAUGACCAUGCGAAAAUUUCACACAGUCAUGCGAAAUGCUCCAGGAAGGUGAAAAUGGUGCUGAUCAAUUUUCCACUUCGCACAAUCGUGCGAAAUUGCAUUUUUUCCAGAUUUCUUGGUGAAGAAGCCUCCGGAAGACCUCUUAGAUGAUGCCAAGUAUCCACUUGACCUUGACCUAUAAAUAGAAACUUGAUUUACUCAUUUGAAGACUUUUUUACAUUUUUCUAAUUGUAGAACUUUCUAGAUUUUCUCUCUAUAAAAUUCUCUAUUUUCCUUCAUUUUCUCUCAUUUUCUCACUAGCCAAACAUGUCUUGUGAGACCAAAUCUCUAAGCAUGAGUGGCUAAAUCUCGUUUUUCUCGGAGGAGGAGAGAUUUAGAGGCAAAAUCUAUGGUGAUCUAUGGUGAAUCGCAAAGGUAAUUUGAUCCAAUUGAUUGAUUAAUUGAAAAUUUUGGGAUUUUUCUCUUCAAAUUGUCUUAGAUGAUUACUACAAUGCAAGCUAGGUAGAUUAAUCAAAUUCUUAAUGCUAGAUUUGAUGAGAUUGAAUAGUUGCAUUGUGUGAAUCAUUGGAAGAUAAUUUAAGAUGAAUUGAAUAUAUGAUUUGAAUUAAUAUCUUGGAUUCGAUGACCUAAUUUGAAGAUAAAUUAUAUCUAGAUCUAAAACUAAAUAAAAAAUCGGUUUCAAUGAAAAUUUAGGUUUUCAAUCUAACUUGAUGAAAAUUAGAUCUUAACAUCUAUUCACCAUAGAGAUUGUUUUCUAAAAAAUCAUAACUCCAAGAAUUUCAUUUUCUAUUAAUUUUCUUCUAUUUUACAUUUCAUUUUCCUCUCAAUUGGGAAUCAUUGUCAUUUUGAAUUGUAAUCAUGAAUUGUCAAAUCAUUUUCACUUAAUCUCAAUCAUUUCUUCUUCUCUCAUUCAAGCCUUGAUUACCAAGAAUAAUCCAUCCUUGUGGACGAUACCUAAAAACCACUAUACUACAAUAGUUUGUACUAAAACCACUUUUUGAUUGGGUACAAAUUGCUAUAGAAUAGUGAAUUAUGUUAUAAAUUUUGUUUUGAUCCAAUAAACGAUAGAAAUCCGAGCGAUCAAGUACCCAAUUUUAACUAAGGUAGUACCUAAGGUCGGUUAAGGUAGUACCUAAGGUUGAUUAAGGUGGCAUCUAAGGGCUAUUAAGGUAAUACCUAAGGUACAGUCCCCAAAAUACCAAAUAUGAACCAAUUGAACAUAGUAAAUAAUCACAUAAUGGGAUGCUCUAAGGAUCAGAAAUAAAGGUCUGAGGAUUCAGAUAGGUAGUACCCAACUUUAACUAAUGUAGUACCUAAGGUCGGUUAAGGUAAUACCUAAGGGCUAUUAAGGUGGUACCUAAGGGCUAUUAAGGUAGUACCUAAGGUACAGUCCUCAAAAUACCAAAGGUGAACCACUUGACUACACAAAAUAAUCACAUAAUGGUAUGCUCUAAGGGUCACGAAUGAAGUUUUGAGGCUUUAGAUAGGUAGUACCUAACUUUAUCUAAGUUAGUACCUAAGGUCGGUUAAGGUAGUACAUAAGGUUGAUUAAGGUGGUACCUAAGGGCUAUUAAGGUAGUGCCUAAGGUAUAGUCCCCAAAAUAAGAAAGGUGAACCAUUUCACCACACUAAAUAAUCACAUAAUGACAUGCUCUAAGGGUCACAAAUGAAGUAAGUAAUGUCCACAAUUGAAGUUCCAAGGCUUCGAAUAGGUAAUACUCAAGUUUAAUUAAGGUAUUACCUAAGCUCCGUUAAGAUGGUACCUAAGGUACAGUCCCCAAAAUAACAAUGCGACUUGCAACUGGAUAUGUUGUAAGUUCCAUCUAGAUUCAAUGCGACUUGUAGGUCUUAUGGUUAUUUGGGAAUAAUAUGAUUUCCACAACCCAAUACAAAAGUUCAAGUCUACCAACGACUCGAAAAUCGUUGCUGUGCUCUAUUUUAAACAAAGGAACUAAAGAACAAUAAAUAAAAAUUAUUUACCUUCAAAUUUCAAUUUGGGGUUAGGGCAAAAUGCGACUCAAUGACAGGAAGAGAUAUCUUGUUGACGAAGCCAAUAUUUUAGAUUCCAACUUUCCGUUCAGGUACGCACUGCUGUAGUAAAUUCACAAUCACAAAUGCACCUCUUGAAGUCGUCUUUUAACUGGACAUUCUUAGGAUGGAAUGCUCCAUUUUGUUGCACUUUUAUGUGGAUAAGAGAGAAACACACAAGUUGGAGUUGUGGAUUAAUGGUUUUUUUUUCUCUCAAAUGAGACAAUUUUUGGGAAAUUUUAGAUGGGUCUCAGGAUUGUAUGGGUGAUGAAGCUAAGAGAGAGAGAGAAAUGUUCCCAAAUUAGAGAGAAAAAAAGUUUCAGAUUAGGGAAAUAACAACCAUUUGUCGGGUCAGGUGAUUUUUCAUAGGUUUCAAAUUCAAAUUUUUCUGUUUUUAAAAUUUUCAGUCUCUCCUAUAACACGGAGGGUGUGCUGCUGAUAUAGGGACAAGGUUACAACUAACAUGGAGGCAUGGAGGGGUAAUUUAGGAACAUAACAUGGAGUUAGUAAAGAGUGCAUGAGAAAGAUAAUAUUUUUCCAUUUGACAGUCAAAUCUCAUAUUCCAGCUUAUUAGAGUUUGAUUGUCAUAUUACUUUCAAAUAGCUGGCUACGAACACAACUUUCCCUAGAAAAUAUGAUAUGAAGUACCACUUUUUCUGUUUAAGUCAUAAGUCAUAACUAACAAGUUAGUCAAAUCCUUGCUUUUUUUUCCCCCCCAAAUGCAGUUCUUAAAUAGUAACCAUAGACGGUUCUUUGGGUAAUGUUGAAAAUCAAUUGAAAAGUUAAGUGAGUGUUUAAUUAAUUAAAUUUACUUUAAGUUUAAUUAUUUUUAAGUUGCUAAUUUAAAAUUUAUGAUUUAUUUUUUACUUUAAGCAUUAAAAUUGUUUGAUAAAAUUAUCUUAAAAUUUAUUUUAAGUUAUCAAAUUGAAAUAUUUGCUCUCAUAGUUGUAAUUAACAUUUAUCAUUAUUAAUUUUAACUAAUAUUUAUUUUCAUUAAUCUUAAUUAAUAAAUUUGUUUAUUAAACUUUCAUACUUAAAUAAAUAUAUCAGACAACUUUAAAAUAUUUACUAUGAAAAAUGAGACAUGGAUGUAAAGUCAUGAUUGUUAAAUAUAUUCUUAAUAGAUUAUGGACAAAUAAGAUAAAAAAGAUUUGGGAUAAAAAAAAAGUUAAUUAUUUUUAUUUAAUACUUUAAAGUCAUUUUUAAAUUUAAGUUAUGAUAUUAAAUUAUUUUACUAAACAUGUUUAAUCUAUUUAAUAACUUAAUUUAAGUUAUUAAAUCAUUUUAAGUCAUUAAAUUAACUUACUAAACACUAUUUAAAAGUGUCAUUAGUCGAGAAAAGGUUGCAUUUGAUGCCUUAAAUAAAGGCCAAUUCAUAGCUGAAUUACUAUAAACUCUAUUACCAUGCUUGAUACAUGUACGAGGACUAUCCUAGCAAGCUUAACAAACCAAAUUAAGUGGUGCUAAAUUUGUUUAAAAGGAUUUGAAUAACUACAUAAGGUAAAUAUUGUAAGUGAAUUUUAAAAUAAAGAUUUUUAUUCUUUUUUAUAAAAUAAAGAUUUGACUAACCAUAUUUAUCCUUUUUAUAAAAUAAAUAUUUUUAUUAUUAAAUGGUUUUAUACUAAAAUUUGUCUUCUUUUAAUUCAUUUUUUUUUAUUAUUAUUAGUUCCUUCAUGUAAAAAAUUAAAAUAAACAACUAUUUCAAUGGAUACAUGAGAAUUAUAUUAAAUCACACUCUAUUUUUAAUUGAAUUAUGUUAAAUUUGUACUUAUUUUAAAAUAAAAUAUUUUUUCAUUUAUUUAAUAUAAAAAAAUUAGAAUUAUAAAUAAAAUCUACUUAAUUCAUUUACAAGAACUAAUUUUUCAAUAAAGGGUUAAUGAAAAAACUAAAAAUCACUAUUAUAUAUUUUUAAAUGAUUUUGACGACAAAAUAAAAUUGAUGAUGAAAUAAGUUAGUAACACAUUUUAUUUAUUUAUUAUUGUGAAGUCUAUGCCAAUCCAAACUAGGUAAACACGUAAGAGGGGGUGAAUUAGUCAAAUUUAAACAAUGUUUACUAAAAUAAAUACAAAUGACAAUAAAUGAAAAUACAAGUAAAUAAAGAGAUAUGAAACAAAAGAAAUGCAAACGAUUUAUAGUGAUUUGACAUUGUUAGGAUAGAGUCUUUAAGAGAAUGACAUGGUACAAUAAUAUACGAAUUUAUUAUUUAAAUUAUGAUCCAAUUUCCUAAAUCUAUUUAUCCUUUUCAUACAUUAUACUUUCUCUGCAUUUAGGUCCAACAUCUCUUACAUUAUAUAUGACUUAAGUGUAUUAGGAGUUGAUCGGAAGAUCCAAGUUAUAUAUUUCUUGUAAGGAGAUGAGUUGUUCACAACUAAUUUAUGAACUUAAACAAUCCAUUUGAGGUUGUCGUGCACAUCUCAUAAUUGAAGGGAUAACUUAUCUUGGUUAUGGAGAUGAGUUUCCCUAGUUAAUGCACUAAUGUGUAUGGUUACAUAUUAGACAAGACUUAUAGUAAGUCAUAAGAUUGGUUAUCAAGUAGCCAUGAUCUCACUAAACUACUAUAUCAUAUGUGCUCUUAACUUUGAGAGGAUACUAAGUGUUAAAGUCUAUAGUGGCUUUGACCUAUGGGUAAGACCCUAAUUAGAUGGUCAUAUAUUCCUUAUGGAUUCAGUCACUAUUGAUUGAGGUAGGUGACAACAAGUAUACUUAAGAUAGACACCAUGAUAUUUCAUAAGUUUGAGACAAAGUGUCCUCUUGGAUGAUCCUAAGGACAUGUGAUCAGGAAAUCUAUGGUCGUAGUAAUUCCUUAAUUGAAAUUUAACAUAUGCUCUUGGAGAGCUAGAAUAUGUCAAUUGGUUACAUAAUAGGAAAAUAUGAGACUCAAUGAUUGUAAAGAUAAUCUUGAGAGGUUGAUAGUAUUCACCUUGUUAAAUUAUAGACAUGAGUUCAUAGAGAGUAUGCAUAGAGUGAAUAGUAGGUCAUGAGCUCAAGUUCUUAUAUCUUGUUGUAAUAUCAUAGGAUACAAGAGUGCAAUUGACUCUUUAUAGUGGAAUGUUAAGUCAACUUCAAAAUUGAAUUAUGAAGGAGCUAUUUUUAUUUUCCUAUGGAUCCUGACAUUCUUCGUUCCCUUCAUAUGUUUUUACAAUUUUUGGUUUCCACCAUUAUGACCCAUACACAUAAACUCAACCCCUGGUCAAUGUCAUAACUUAGCAGUUUCUGAAUUGUUGUACGAAUCAACCAAGUUUUUGAGGAGGUUCAAAAUUUUCUCAUCUGCUAUCUACUGGUUGCAUUAGAAAUAAUGACAUGUUUAUCUUUAGGCCUAGGGACUAAGUAUCACACAUCAUUUCUAGUGAAUUGAUUUAACUCUUCUUGGAGUUCAAUAGUCCAAGAGUCGUCACCUAAGCUUCUUCCAUAUUCUUUGGCUCCAAUUGGAGGAUAUAACAUACAAGACCCAUCUAGUUUAAUCUUAGUUGUCUCCUAGUAACUACACAUUCAUUUAUAAUACCUAUUACAUUUGCUAGUUAAACGAAAUUUAAUAUGUAGUUAAUGAGUCUAAUAUUUUUUUUAAAAAAAAUAACUUAAAAUUCAUAAAACACUUAAAUCAAUGUAAGAAAAUAAUAUACCAAAAAAACUAAUACAAAACAAAUUAUCUCUACUAUUUUUUAUUUGCAUAUAACAAUAGACAUAUUUUUAAUUUUUUCAUUAUACAAAUAAAUUCUAAAUCAAACGAGACAAAGAGUAUGUUUGAUAUUGAUUUUUAAAAAUGUUUUUAGUCUUUUUAACACUUAAAUAAUAAAAAAUUUCAAAUGUUAGAAAUGCUAGAAGUAAUUUCUAAAAUCACUGCUAAACGAGCUCUAAUAAAUUAAGACUUAGAGGGUGUUUGGUAAAAUCUAAUAUUAAUUACUUAAUCAUUUGAGUUGAUUUUGAGUUAAAUCAUAAUUAAAUUAUUUACUUAAAACUUAUUAUUUGAUUUUUAUUUUAAGUACUAAAUCAUCGAUUUGACAUACUUACAAUUAUGAAUUUUAACUAUUAUUUACACUUAUUAGUUUUAAUAACUAUUUUUUAUUAUUAAUCUUAAAAAAUAAAUUUGUUUGUUAAAUAUUUAUAUUUAAAGUAUUGUAAAUAUAUAAGAUAAUCAUAAUAUAUUUACCAUAAAAAUCAAUCAUCGAUGUAGAGUUAUAGUUGUAAAAUAUACACUCACUAUAUGAGGGUUAAUGAGAUAAAAUAGAUUUGACAUUAAGAAUAAAUUAACUAUUUUAACUUAAUAUUUAAAAGUUAUUAUUAACUUUAAGCUGUAAUAUUAAAUUAUUUUACUAAACAUGUUUAAUCGACUUAAUGAUUUAAAUUAAGUUAUUAGAUCAAUAAGUCAAUUUCUCAAACAACCUCUUAGAGUUCAUUUGAGAGUAUUUUUAGAAAAUGCUUCAAAAUUGAUCCAAAAUACUUUGUUUAGAAUUGAGUAAUAAAUAAGUACCUACAAUAAAAAAGCUUGGCUUAUUUAUAUGUAUAUUUUUUUUUAAAAAAACUUUGUUUAGUUUUAAAUUCAUUUUAAAUAAAAUAUUUUAACCAUUCUUAUUUUAAAAGUAUUAUUAUUCAUUAUAUAAAGAAUUCAAGUAUGCAUUUACAAGUAUUAUUCUAAUUUUUAAUAUAUUGGAAUAUUAGAACAUUAAAAUCUAUAACACCUAAAAUUGGGAAUAAAGUAAAUAAUAAAAUUUUAUUUUAACUUUGAAUAUAUCUUUUUAAAUAUGCUUAUGUCAUUUAAUAAAAUUAGAAAUAUUAAUAUAUUUAUAUAUUAUCAUGAUGCUUUAACAUGUCAAUAUUAAAGAUAAAAAGAUGAAAUAUCUUUACUUAUUUAAUAUUAUAAUAUUAAAUAAAAAAUUUAAGUUUAAAUUAUGUAUAUAUAUAACAUUUAUUUUUAAUUUUAAUAAUAUAUAAAUUAUAUUUAUGACAUUACUGUUUCAUCAGUAAUUUAUAUGCGAAAACAGAGGAUUGACCUGUAUUUUGCAAGUUAAAAAGUAAAAUAUAGAGAAGGAAGAAAGAAACAAGAAGAAAAUAAUAGUAGUACACCUUUAUUAAACUUCAAAUCCAAGUCAAAGGAGUAAGCCCACAAGUACAGCAAACAUUAAGAUAACAAGAAAGAGGAAUGAUAUACACAGGCAGCAUACAUUCUUAUUUCCCAAAGGAAAUUUUUGUUGCAUCAUCACUUGUAAAGUCCAGAGUUUGUAGUUGUUGGCUGUGGGCGAAUAUUUACAAGCAUACUGAGAAUUCAAGGGCAGCAUGCAAUGUUCAACAUGGACAAAUUAUUCAACUGUGAGCAAGAUAAAUUAAACAAGAUAUAGGCUUCAACACAACAGAGAUAAUCACAUUUGAGCAGGCCAUUUUUCUGGCUCGUUUGAUUCAGCCAUGCAUGGGUUUUUGAGGAAGUUUGUCUUCAAUCCACCUCUUCAAUAGCUCUAGUGCAGCUCAGGGCUGACCAGCAUCAUGGACCUUUUUAUUGUUACAUAUAAACCAAACCACCAUGUUAGUACUAGCAAUCAUCUGCUUCCUUCCUAAGUGUACUGCUAUGUGAGAAAGAGAUGGUUUGAGAGAGAGACCUUGAGGAAGGUAAGACUGGUCUCUUCAAGUGUAUACAGCAAUGCCUUGGACACCUCUAUACUUUCUGACAUUUUUAUUUUCCAGCUGAUAUCAAACACAAAAAGAAGAGUGAAAUCUUGGAUGAGUGAUGCAGAAUGCUAAACUUGUAUAAGGGUCUAUUUGGCAGCAGAAAUGAGGAUUCUUUUAUUUAUUUAUUUAUUUUUUCUGAGAAAAGAAGAAAUGAAAAUGGAUUAAAAACAUGAUGAAAACAUCAAACAUUUCAAAAUAAAAAAAAUAAAAAAACAUGUUGAUAACUCAAAGUAACAUAUUCAUGCUUGCCAAUCUUCAAUCUUAUUGAUCAUUUUUACAAUAGCAGAAAAGAAAGUCCUAAUAAGCAUUGACCACCUUCAUCGUUCUUUUCUUCUUACCUGAGAGAAGAAAUUCUGAAAAUGAAGCACUAAAUUUAAAAAAUGAGGCAUUAACUUUGAAAAACAGAUAAUCAUGAAUUGUUGAGGUCAAGAACAUACUGACAUGCAAAUAUGUAGCUUGAAUUUUGGAAAUUUUGGAUUUCACCUGCAUCUUCUUUUUAUUCUUUCUUUCCUAAAUGUAGAGAAGAAACUUCCAUUCUUUAUCUGAAAAUGAACUCACUAUUAGGGCAAUGAAAACAGAAGCUGCACAUUGUGAGUGGGCAGGCUUACCUUAUUGAAAAGAGGAGAAGACAUAUUGUUGCUUUCAUUUUAAGCAGCCCAUAUGAUGAGUAUCUAAUGGCAGGAAAUGGAUGUGGGAUGUCUUGAUCUGAAAUAAAGAAGAACAGCCCAGUUAAGCAUGUCAAAAGAGUCUAGACACAGUUUUAGGUUUAGGUUUAUUCUAUUUAUUAAGAACAUAAAAUCAUAAGCAAAUUCAAUAGAACAGUAGAACUAACCAUGCUUGUGUGGAACUGAGGCCAACAAGUUAAGAGAAAAUGCCAAUUAGUAAGAGCUGCUAAAGCCAUAUAUUCAUGAGAGGACAAUCUGGAACUGGAGUUGAGUUGCAAAUAGCCAUACCUGAAUGAUUUUUUUUUUGCAUGUAGAAAACAUGGAAUUCAUCUUAGAACAUUGUUAUCAGUCCCUUAUCUCAAGUCUUGGAAAUGUUUCUGGAAGCCCUUUGGACUGGAGCUCAUGGCACCCAUAGACGGAUAUACUGUCAAGAGAAGGGAGGUUUUUGAAAGCCAGGGAGGCCAUGGAAUCCAGUUUACUAAUCAAAAGUUUGCUCAGAGUUGUAGGAAAAAGACAGCCAUCAUCUGUAGAGAAGCCAGACCUGGACAUAGGCUAGAAAUAUACAAUGAUGAAAGAGAAGCAAGUGGGCCUGUCCUGGUUAGCACACAAUCUCUGAUAGAAAGUGGUGCAGGGUUGCAGGCCAAACUGCAGAGUCCUCUGCUUCUCCUGGUUAGCACAAAUUUCUAAUUACAAAUAUUUAAGAUUGUGAGGCAGCCCUUGUUCCUCCAAGGUUACAAGUCCAUGGCACUGCCAGAUCCCUAUACAUUCAACACCACCGAGGAGGCAUUCCAAUCAAAACCUGCUCUGCUACAAAGACGUCACUUCCCCACACCCUCUUAACACCGUUUUUUAAAAUCGGAAAUUUCUUGAUUUUAAGCAUUGAGAGUGUUGCAGGGAGCCCUUUCCUUCAGCAAACAUGACCAGAGAAUUUCAAUGGCAUCAAAUGUAGAAACUAGCAUUUCAAUAGUAUCAAAGUACAAACUUCGAUUUCAAUAAUGUCAAAAGUAGAAAAUUGUAUCAAGUUCAUAACAAUUGUCUUUUAUGAAUGAGAUGGACUCUGCUUCCAUUUUUGUGAUAUAUAUGGAAAUAAAAUUCAACAUGAGUUUAUUCAUAUGUGAAAAGCUAUCAUUAUGUAGGGAUGUGCACUAUCUUGGACUAAUUUCUAUAUUUGGAAGUGUGGCCAUCAACAGCCCUUCCUUGGCAAAAGGCACCCAAGCUUAGGUGACUCCUAGUACUCCAAGAGGAGUAAGGCUGUGGAGCUGCAUGGAUGGAUUGAAAUGACCCCAACCAUGUAGAUAUUAUUCACUCUAGGUCCUUUGGCCCCUUAACUUACUCUCAAUAGAGGGACACCUCACUGGGGUUAAGGUUGGGGAUCAACUUUGAUAUCAUUUGUAACGUCCUACUUCCAGUCAUAUUGUUCGCUUUGGACCCAAGGAGCCUUUUUCAAUUUAAAACAUGUUACAUUGUUAAGAGAAACUCAUACAUAUAUAGUGCAAACUGCCAAGAAGUUUUUCUCCUAUCCAAUGUGGGAUAUCUUAUAGAUUAUAUUUAGAGGAAGCAUACACAUACUCUGUAACAGUGGUGAAAUUUUGAAGAGAGGAGAGUUUAUGCAUGCCCCACUUGGUCAGGGCUCGAUAUUCCUGCAGUCCAUGAUGCAAGGUGAUACUAGGUUGAAGCAACAGCCCAUUUGAACUAACCGAAUCUAUGACUUGAAUUAAAAUUUGCAAAAACCAAAAAACCACCUCUUUAGGUUCCUGGCCUUGCUAAAAUCAUAUUUUGGAUAAGAAGCAAGAUGCCAUUUCUGAACACUACAACCAACUUCCAAGAACCUUUGGAACCGGAGCAAGCAAAUGAUCUCAACAUAUUGUAUUAUAACCUUAUCAUUAAUACACAUCAAACACUGAAUAAGACUAUUUAACUAUUGCCAUUUUCUUAAUCUAAGAAAUACCAUGCCAGUUUCAAAUAUUCAUAAAUGUAAUGCACAUUUAUAAAGAACCAUAUUUAAGGCAUUAUAUGUGCUUGUGUGCUUAAAAAUGACAAACUCUAUUGAUAAACUUUAAAAAGAAAAGAUGUCUUACCAGAGUCAGCCAUGAAAUAGCAUUUCUGGGCCGAAGUUACCACAGUCAACAAUACUGCAAAAGAUGACAGAAUUCCCAAGGCUCUUAAUCUUGAAAAUAAUGUAUCUUUGUAAUGGAGGAUUAUGGACAAGAGCAACAUGAAAAACAAAAAAAUUAAGAAGAAAUACCAAGCCAUGAUUGCAGCAAGAAAUGAAGAAUAUACCAGCAAGUGAAUAGGUAGCAGUUAGUGAUUAGGAAGUUUUGCAUCUAAUAAUAUUCACCUUUUUCUUUUUCCUUCCUACAUGUUGAGAAGAAAUUUCAAUCAUUAUCUAAAAGUGGAAUUGAUAUUGGAUCAAUGAAAUUGGAAGCCAGGCAUCCUAAAGAAGCAGACAUAAUACCUAUUUGUUUGCUUUCAUUUCUUGACUAGGGAAAGAAGAAUUAUUAGGAAGAACGAUCCAUCAUAUUGCAUGUAAUAAGAAUUGGAAACACAUAAGAAUAGACCAGUUUGGGGGCCAUGAUGCUAUUAAAGGUGGAAUAGAAUGUCAUUGAGGUUUCCUUCAUAUGAAACAUAUGAGUGAUAUACCAAUUAGGCAGGGCCAGAGGCUGCUGUAAGCAUGUGUUAUUUAUAGAAAGACAAAAUUACAUUAGAAUUAAUAGAAAAGUAGAAGUAACCAUGCUCACCCAGAAUUGAGGUAAAGAACAAAAAAGGGAAUCACGAAUUUAAUAGAAAACCCCCAAUCAAUAACUGCAGCCAAGCCAAAAUCACCUAUCCAUCAAGAGAAUGGAUCAUGUCUCAUCUCUCUCUCUCUCUUCUUGUUCACCCUGUGCACUACUUGCCAUAUCCUUAUUAAGCCAGAUCCCUGUGAAUUUGCAAUGAAAAUUGGCAGUCCAAUUAGCAUAUGGACAAAACAGGGAGAACUUCAUACAUUUAUAGACAUGAGCUCUUUUCAGAUAGUUAGUACAUAGUUGUCGCUUUAUAAUUACACUUCAAGCGGUUGAAGGAAUAAUGUUCAGAAAGAAAUUGGAGUAAGAAACAAUGUAAAUAUUUAUAAAAUUAGAAAUGUUAUACCAUGAAGCUAUUUGGAAAAGCAAACAACAAUCCUCAUUCUUUCAUUCAACACCAGCUUUAGCCCCUUGCUGCCAUGGUUAGCUUAAGAUUCACUGACUACCAAUGUAUGUUUACUUUUUUCAUCUUGUCCUAGAGAAGUUUAAGAAUGAAUAUGAUUCUUUUCCUUGGUUAAAAGAAAUGUUUCAAGUUUCAAAAUACAUUUUUGCUUCCACAACUAAAAACUCCUAACAUUUGAAUGGAAAUUCACAUCUGGGUAUCCAUGGCUAAGUCCAUUAAAUAUACUUCUAAGACAAUAAUAUUAAAAAUAUGAAAAUAAAAAACUUAAAAAAAAAGGGGGUGGGGGUGGGAAAGAAAAACAAAAAGAAGUGAAAACAAGGUUGUACCUGAUUGAACAAUGAAAGGAUAGCGUUGAAUGGCUUUCUGUUUCCAUUCUGUUUCCACCACAUGUAGAAUACUUUACUCUGCCAUCAAUUUUGAAUUUGGGGAUGUCGGCAAUGGAGGGAAAUUUUGUUUCUUGAAGAAGAGGACAGCCAAUGAUUUCAAGACUUGCAAGUGCUAUUGGCCUUAGCCUUAAGGAGUGGAGCUUAGGGCAGCACCCAAUAUAUAGAUGUUGAAGGGAGAUGAUGUUUUUGAGAUCCAGGGAGGUCAGGGAUUCCAUAUAGUUGAUAUGGAGGUUAGUGAGAGGUGUAGGAAAAAGGCACUUAUCGUCCCAAAGGGAAGCCUUGCCUGGGAACAUUUUCCAAAUCUUCAAUGUCGAAAGAGCGGUGAGGGUGUGGAGGCCCCACUCAGAUACGGGAGUCUUCAGAUUCUUGCAAUUUAUAAUUGAAAGAAAUUUUAGAUUGGGGGCCAAACCCCCUUCUGGGAAGGACUCCAGUCCCGGAGAAUCCUCCAUGCUGAGAACCCGAAGAGAUGUGAGGUUUUUCAUUUGAUGGGGCAAGCACUUGAGAUUCUCACAUCUCCAAAUACGGAGCUCUCUGAGGUUGGGGGCGGAAAACCCUCUUUCUGGAAACCCCUCCAGACCUCCACAGUCUUCUAUUUUGAGCUGCUUGACGCUGUGAAGGCAUUCUGGUAGGAUUUUCAGAUUGGGAUAACCCCUCAACUCUAAAUACUCAAGAGCUGUAUUAUUGGGCCACAUUUUCUCUGAUACUGGCUCCAAGUUGGAGCAAUGCCGAAUCUCAAGCCGCUCAAGGGUGGGGGGUAACUCCCCUCUUGGGAAGAACUUGAGAGACUUGCAAUCAUGUAUCCUCAGUAUUUGAAGACAACAAUCGUUGUUGCUGUGUAUGGAAUUGCGGUGCAUCAUUCCAUCUGGUAGAUACUUUAGCCGUAUACAAUCUGCAACCAUCAGUUGCUUGAGGGUGGAGGGUAACCCACCAUGUGGAAAGCAGAUGAGAGAUGGACAACACCUAAUCUCCAAGGAUUCAAGGGGACAUGAGCUGUAGUUAUGGGGCAGCGACCUCAGGCUCCUGCAUUUCUGCAGCACAAGACGUCUCAGCAUGGGCGGCAAACCCGUCUCUGGGAAUGACUCCACUGCUAGGCAUCCCAUCAUUUCCAGCUCUUCAAGACAAGUGAGAUUCUGUAAUCCAUUUUGCAGGCUCUUCAGGUUGACGCAGUCGGCUAUCUUCAACAUUUUCAGAUGGCUAGGCAGUCUUUGGUCAUCCAAUGAUACAAGCCAGUCACAGCGGCCAAUCACUGCGCUUUCAAGACCACUGCAAACCCACCUAGAUGUCAGCUGAUCACGACUAUCUGCAACCACCCCACUUCUCAACACCAUAUCCUUGCAUUCUUCUAUAUUUAGUUCACCCAGAGAUGCAAAUCUUGAGAAUGGAACUGCCAGAUUUCGACAUUUAGAGAUGUCAAGUUUCACCAAGGAUGGCAGGCAAUCAGGCAACUGUUUAACUAACUUUGAGCAGUUCCUUAUGGUAAGCUCUCUAAGGCGUGGAAAUAAUUCUACUCCUUCAACCGCAUCAGGAAAAAACCAGUCUUCCCAUUUCGGCAUAUUCUCAAACUUUAGAAACUCCAGGGAUGGAAAAGGCUGGACAACCCCUCCAUAGAACUCCACAUCUAUGGUUCUAAUUUCACUCAUCCCCUUGAUAUGCAAGGUCUUGAGGAAGGAUAAUUUGCCAAGAGAUGGUAAUGAGGUGCAUCUUUGGCAAUUCUUUAGAAUUAAUUGUGUCAUUGAUGGGAAUGAGGGGUCCCUUAUCCAACCUAAAAAUGUUGAUCCACCAUAAUAUGCCACUGUGAGCUUUUUCAAGUUUGUGGGUGGUCGUAGCCCUGCCAAAACAUUCAUCUCAUUCAUUUCAUUUCGUGGUUUAUCAUAAUCGCUGUCCCAUUCCAUCGUCAACUCUUCAAUGUUGUGCUUUUCUUCUAACUUAGCAUGCAUCGCAUCUUGACUAUUCACCACAUUAUGCAACCCUGAAAUGGAAAGCUUUCCUCGAAGAUCCUGCAAGUUCUCCAAUUCUCUUAUUCUGGAAUUAUCAUUUUUGCCCACAAUAUAUUUAGAUAAUGUUUGCAAAUUUGUUAGGUUGCUGAUCUUGAAAGGCAUCUCUUGUAGUUGACUUGUACCAGAAAUAUCAAUAUGUCGAAGGUUGAUUAGGCCUCCAAUCACAACAGGCAACUUAGUGAGUCUCCAACAAUCAGAUAAUAUCAAUGUCUGUAGGUUAUAAAGAUGUCCUACUGAAUUAGGUAACAUUUUUAUUGAAGAGUUAGACAAAUUGAGAUAGCGCAAAUGUCUCAAAUCACCAAUCGAAUGUGGUAGCUCUCCACUUAUGUAAUAGCCACUUAAAGAUAAUACUCGUAAACAUUCAAAUUGCUUUACAAGAUUAUUUAUUACCUUACUUGGUAUGAAGUGAUAUCUAGAAAAUGCAUUGAGUGGCAAUGAGAUUAGUGUUCUCAAACACUUCAUCUUAUGAAAGGCUUUGAAUCUUUCAAGCAUCUCAUACUCUUGACGAUUGAAAGAUGAGUGACGAGCCUUCUUAAAAGUGGUGGAUUGGUUAUUAUUCACUAAUAUACCCUCCAAAUUAAAGCAGAAUUCUCCCGCUACAUAUUGAGCUAGAUCAUUGAUUAGGUCAUGCAUCACAAAUCGUGAUGAAUCGUGAUUAGAUUGUUGAAAAAAUGACCUUGACAAUAAAUCAUAGAAGUAUUUAGAACCCAAAUCUUCUGGUCGGGUAUUUUCCUUUGUUUGUUGAAAAAAACCCUCAGCCAUCCAUAAUUGGAUUAAUUCAUCUUUGUCGAAUUCAUAGCCUUUUGGAAAUAUCGAACAAUAGGCAAAACACUUCUUCAAAUGAGAAGGGAGAUGAUGAUAGCUCAACUUGAGUGCAGGAAGAACUUGACUUUUGUCCUCAGGUAGAUCCCAUAUCUUACUUGUUAAAAUAUUUUCCCAUGCAUCAUGACUUACUUGGUUGCGCAACAUGCCACCAAGGGCCUUUGCUGCCAAAGGCAAGCCCUUGCACCUUCUCACUAUUUCCUCGCCAACUUCUUUCAAGUGUGAAUGAGCAUCGAAAUUACUUUUCCCUAAUGCUUGUUGAGUGAAUACAGAUAAACAAUCUUUGUAUGCUAACUCAUGAAGACGAUAAGCUCGGUAAGUUCGAGUGAUUGAUGCAACACCUUCAUUACGGGUUGUGACAAUAAGCUUACUACCCGGUUCCCCUGAUCUCAUUGGCAUGCACAAAAAAUCCCAUGAAUCAAAAUUCUCAUUCCAUACAUCGUCUAGGAUAAGAAGAAAUUUCUUCCCAGAAAGGCCCUCCCUUAAUGUCAUCUGAAGCAAAUUAAGAUCAUUAACAUCCUGAGUAUUCGGAGAAACUGAUUGUAGAAUUGUUUUCGUGAUCUUCAAGACAUCAAAAUCAUCAGAAACAUAGACCCAAACUCUCAAAUCAAAAUGAGCUUUUA